rnacentral:tRNA from 2 species
GGUGUGGUAGCUCAGUUGGUAGAGCAAAGGACUGAAAAUCCUUGUGUCGCCGGUUCGAUUCCGGCCCUCACCACAA